UCUCUCACAAAAUUACAAAUCAAAAGGCUCUCGCAGACUGCUCUCUACUGAACUUCCAAUCGCUCUCUCUCUCUCUCUCUACAAACGAGCUAAAUCAGACCUUUACAUCGAUUCACACUCCAAAAUACACUCGAUUAAGCCGAUUAUUUCCGAACAAAGGACAUUUGAUUCGAAGAUUUCGUUUGUGAAAUCAGAUCUGAAGAAACUGAAGAGUGAGGGUACGGUUGUUUUGAAUAAGUUCGUAUAUAGAUAUAUGUUUGAUGAUUUGGACGGUUUGGCUGAAAUAGAGGUUGAUCUACUGAGGUUUUGGUGGUUGUGGCGGAAAUUUAAACCUGCUGAUUGCUUAAGAUUGAUAGGCUUAGAAUUGUGAAAGUCGUUGAUUUGAUAGAUCUAGCUAAGAUUAGCUCAGAAAGAGAGACCGAAGUGAAAAUUUGGGGGAAAUGGAAACGUUAGUUGCUAUUGCUCAUCACAGAAAUCAUCAGUACCAUGGAAGAAGCCGUGGCCAUGGCUCGACAAGGUUUGGGUCUAGUUCACCACCUAUGGGGGGGUUUCGGGGAAUUAAUUGUAGGACAUUUCAUUCUGGGGAUGGAUUGCUCUCAACUCCAGCUAAAUCUGGCUCGAGUAAAACGAAAGCCUCUGCUACGAAAAAAGCAUUUUGCCCUACCUUAUCGCCUAAAACUCCUUCCCCGUCUGCCUGUGAACCCCCGAAAAUACUGAAAAGAAUUGCUAAGAGCUGUUCUAUUCCAAUACCUAUGGAUAUCAAGUUUGAGAGCAGGGUUGAAGGGUUUCAAUUUUCUGAGCUGUGGGCUGGACCUGCCUAUUCCAAUUCACCUCCCCCGAGUUCUUUGCCGAUGCCUAAAUUCUCACUGAUGCCUAAAAGAACUGUUUCUCUUGAUUUUCCGAUGGUGGCAUCGGAAAUUGAUCUGCCUUGCCUCUCUAAAUCUGCACCUGCUUCCCCUAGGGAGCGCAGUCCGUCUCCUAGUGAUUUGUUUGACAUUGCUGAUUCUGCGACGAAGACCCUGCGUCGCAUGCUUAAUCUUGAUAUUGAUGAGGAAUGAAGGGUGGUCUGGGGUGGUGGUGCUGGUGGUGGUUAAUAAUGUUCCUGUAAUUAAGGAAUUUAGCUUUAUGUAGUUCAGUAGUGGUAGGGUUUAAGUCUAAUAAAAAUGAUCAUGCGAUGCUAAAGCACUGGUGUCAUGGUAGUGCUGGAGCUGUAUCUUGUUGAUCGAUGAUCUCUGGAACUGGAAUCGGAACCUCUUGUGUGGUUGGGAAUGUAUGGUUUGGUUGCUCGGACAUGGAUUUUGCAUAUGGAAGUUGUGAAAUGGAAAACAGGGGUUGAUCAAGGGUUCAAUUGGCAUGCUUUAUUGGAAAUCUUAUGGUUUAAAGUUCUUAUGAUUGCUCCAUUAAAAGCAAUCAAAUUUUCAGAUUGGGGUAACCUAGAUGCUAUUGAAAGUGGAAUUUCAGCUUUCCAUUCACUUCUCCUAACCUUUUCCUCAGUAGUUAGAUUUUUUAUACAGAAUGUACAUUCAGUGUAUAACCUAACUUUUUUAGUGUCAAUAGUUUGCCUGUUUCUUUUCUCCAUGUUUCCGUCCUAAUAUUCUCUUUAGUCUCCUUUCACUUUCCUGUUCAGAUGCUCUUGCAUUCUCUUUUCGUUGUUAUUAGAGUCGCCUCAUCAUCCUUUUUUCCCUUUUCUCUAGUUAAAAAUGUUACCGACUUCUGAUCUAGGUUUUCCCUUCACCAACUUUUCUUGGUUUUAUAAAAAGAAAACUGGGAAUGGGAAUAGGUUAGUCGAUCUCUUCACCUAUAGUGCUUCCAUUCCAUAGUAGUUGAAUUUGUUCUUGCAAGCUUAGCCUUUUCUCUUUGUUGAUGAGGUGAUUCCUUCUUUUAGUGCCUAAGCUUGAUCCUUUCCGUGCAUUCCUCUGUGUUGCCUAUCUACUUCCAUGAAGUGGGUUUUUACCUUCAACUCUUUCCUUGUUGGUCUUUAGUUCCAUUGAUACCGGAGAUUGUCGAUCUAUGAUGCUGUUCAAGUGCUUGUUCAUGUAGAUGGAUGGAAGAAAGAUUCUUCUGGAGGCUGUUCCAGUGUCUCGUAUCGCUGAUCUGUUGGUUCUGGUCCUUUCGUAUUCCGAUGUAUGGUAGUCUGCUGGAGCUCGAAGUGUCAUGUUUCGAGUCUUAUGUUUCUGUUAGCUGUGGACUAUCGUCUCUUGCUGAUGUCGUGUUGAGAUGUUUUAAACUUGUGUCUGCUUGUGUGGUUUGGUUUCUUACUACCAAGCAACUUAUCCUGUUAUUCCAGAUUCCAAGUUGUGUUACUUAUCAAUGUAGCUUUUGAUGAAUCUUCAA